rnacentral:lncRNA from 10 species
GCCAAACAUUCCCUCUGGUCUGAGCUAAUGUUCCUGUUGCAUAGAUCCAGUUUCCUACCUAGCUAUUAGUCCCUUGAGUCCAAGAGAUAUUUCUUCUUACUCUUUGUACCUUCCCAUAGCGAUUAGAAAAGCAUGCCAGUCAAUAGUAAGUGUAGAGGAAGUUUGUUUAACUUGACUGGUUGAUUAGUGGGUUGAUUUACUGCCAGCUCAGUGGCUGUUUCUCUCCCAUUACUUCCACCUCCCAUGAGGACUGCACCUGCGGCAGCGAUUUUAUGUGAACUUGGAUUACUGUAUGGAAAUGGAGAAUUAUAAUGUAGCACCUUCAACAGAAAGACAAUCAAAGGUAUACAUCCUGACAGGUUCAGACCCCUGAAGGAUCUGUUAGACAAUGUCCAACACUCCAGUGAAAGAAAAUACAGAGUGAGAAAGUGUGGGAAUCAUAAAAGAAGGCAGAACCAAAAGACAGAGGGAUCUUGGGCCAUGAGUCACAGCAAGGAAAGCCUCCCACCAAACAUCUGCACUGGACUCCUACAGGAACAAGAAAUGAACUAUCGUGUUCAGCCCCUGAGACUUGGGCUUAACAUGAUUUUCACAUUGUCUACCCUACCUAAUAGAGCAGAGAUGUAAAUAUUAUUCUUAUUUUAGAGGUGUGAUGCCUCAGCUGCAAUGGGUGAGAACUACUCCUCAUUUAUUCUCUUCCAAGGCAAUAAAAGAGAAUGGACCAAAGACAGUCUGUCAUCACAUCUAGUCAAAAGAGCUAAUGUCGCAGUACAACUCUUCAAAAGAAAAAGAAAAAACAAGAAAAAAGUAAUAAACAGAUGUGUUCUGCUUGAUUGUUUGACUCCUUUUUCUUGUGUUUUCCUCUGGAAUUUCCCUGUAGCUAAAGGCCUUUGAUAUUCUAUGUCUACAAGAUGAUGGCAUCGGUGGUAGUGAUGGUUUCUUCUUUUUCUCUUUUUCCUUCUCCUUCUCCUCCUUUUUUUCUUUUCCUCUUCUUUCCUCCUCCCUUCCCUAUUCUCCUUCGUCUUCCUUUCUUUUCUCCGUCUCCCCUUCCUCUUUCAUCUCCUCUUAUUAUUAUUAUACUUUGUUCUUGAUCUAAAACAGCACUGUAUUAGAUGCCAAAUCUUUA